rnacentral:rRNA from 1 species
GAUGAACGCUGGCGGCGUGCCUAAUACAUGCAAGUCGAGCGAACAGACGAGGAGCUUGCUCCUCUGACGUUAGCGGCGGACGGGUGAGUAACACGUGGAUAACCUACCUAUAAGACUGGGAUAACUUCGGGAAACCGGAGCUAAUACCGGAUAAUAUAUUGAACCGCAUGGUUCAAUAGUGAAAGACGGUUUUGCUGUCACUUAUAGAUGGAUCCGCGCCGCAUUAGCUAGUUGGUACGGUAACGGCUUACCAAGGCAACGAUGCGUAGCCGACCUGAGAGGGUGAUCGGCCACACUGGAACUGAGACACGGUCCAGACUCCUACGGGAGGCAGCAGUAGGGAAUCUUCCGCAAUGGGCGAAAGCUUGACGGAGCAACGCCGCGUGAGUGAUGAAGGUCUUCGGAUCGUAAAACUCUGUUAUUAGGGAAGAACAAAUGUGUAAGUAACUAUGCACGUCUUGACGGUACCUAAUCAGAAAGCCACGGCUAACUACGUG